rnacentral:rRNA from 1 species
UACGUAGGUGGCAAGCGUUGUCCGGAAUUACUGGGCGUAAAGAGCGCGCAGGCGGCUGGUCAAGUCCGAUGUGAAAGCUCCCGGCUUAACUGGGAAAUUGCAUCGGAAACUGAUCGGCUUGAAGGUGGGAGAGGGUAGUGGAAUUCCCGGUGUAGUGGUGAAAUGCGUAGAUAUCGGGAGGAACACCAGUGGCGAAGGCGACUACCUGGCCCACUCUUGACGCUGAGGAGCGAAAGCGUGGGGAGCGAACAGG